rnacentral:rRNA from 1 species
AACGAACGCUGGCGGCAUGCCUAACACAUGCAAGUCGAACGAGACCUUCGGGUCUAGUGGCGCACGGGUGCGUAACGCGUGGGAACCUGCCUUUAGGUUCGGAAUAACUCCCCGAAAGGGGUGCUAAUACCGGAUAAUGUCUUCGGACCAAAGAUUUAUCGCCUUUAGAUGGGCCCGCGUAGGAUUAGCUAGUUGGUGGGGUAAAGGCCUACCAAGGCGACGAUCCUUAGCUGGUCUGAGAGGAUGAUCAGCCACACUGGGACUGAGACACGGCCCAGACUCCUACGGGAGGCAGCAGUGGGGAAUAUUGGACAAUGGGCGAAAGCCUGAUCCAGCAAUGCCGCGUGAGUGAUGAAGGCCUUAGGGUUGUAAAGCUCUUUUACCAGGGAUGAUAAUGACAGUACCUGGAGAAUAAGCUCCGGCUAACUCCGUGCCAGCCGCCGCGGUAAAAC